GUUCUUGCUUCAGCAGCACAUAUACUAAAAUUGGAAUGAUACAGAGAAGAUUAGCAUGGCCCCUGUGCAAAAUGAAAUUAACCCCUAUCUCU
ensembl:snRNA U6 U6 spliceosomal RNA